rnacentral:rRNA from 1 species
GUUUGAUCCUGGCUCAGGAUUAACGCUGGCGGCGUGCCUAAUACAUGCAAGUCGAACGGAAACCUUCGGGUUUUAGUGGCGAACGGGUGAGUAACACGUAAGCAACCUACCCUAAAGACGAGGAUAACCAUUGGAAACAGUGGCUAAGACUGGAUAGGAAGAAAUAAGGCAUCUUUUUUCUUUUAAAAGACCUAGUGAUAGGUAUACUUUAGGAGGGGCUUGCGCCAUAUUAGUUAGUUGGUAGGGUAAUGGCCUACCAAGACGAUGAUGUGUAGCUGGACUGAGAGGUUGAACAGCCACAUUGGGACUGAGACACGGCCCAAACUCCUACGGGAGGCAGCAGUAGGGAAUUUUCGGCAAUGGAGGAAACUCUGACCGAGCAACGCCGCGUGAACGACGAAGUACUUUGGUAUGUAAAGUUCUUUUAUCAAGGAAGAAAAGCAAGUGGUGAACCAUUUGUUUGCCGGUACUUGAUGAAUAAGCCCCGGCUAAUUAUGUGCCAGCAGCCGCGGUAAGACAUAAGGGGCAAGUGUUAUCCGGAAUUAUUGGGCGUAAAGGGUGCGUAGGCGGUCUAGUAAGUCAGUGGUGUAAUGGCAACGCUCAACGUUGUCCGGCUAUUGAAACUGCUAAACUUGAGUUAGAUAGAGGCGAGUGGAAUUCCAUGUGUAGCGGUAAAAUGCGUAAAUAUAUGGAGGAACACCAGAGGCGUAGGCGGCUCGCUGGGUCUUAACUGACGCUGAGGCACGAAAGCGUGGGGAGCAAACAGGAUUAGAUACCCUGGUAGUCCACGCCGUAAACGAUGAGUACUAAGUGUCGGGUUAAACCGGUACUGAAGUUAACACAUUAAGUACUCCGCCUGAGUAGUACGUACGCAAGUAUGAAACUUAAAGGAAUUGACGGGACUCCGCACAAGCGGUGGAUCAUGUUGUUUAAUUCGAAGAUACCCGAAAAACCUUACCAGGUCUUGACAUGUUUUUGCGAAACGGUAGUAAUAUCGUGGAGGUUAUCAGAAACACAGGUGGUGCAUGGUUGUCGUCAGCUCGUGUCGUGAGAUGUUAGGUUAAGUCCUAAAACGAGCGAAACCCUUAUCGUUAGUUGCCAGCACGUUAUGGUGGGGACUUUAACGAGACUGCCAGUGAUAAAUUGGAGGAAGGUGAGGAUCACGUCAAAUCAGCAUGCCCCUUAUGACCUGGGCUACAAACGUGAUACAAUGGCUGUUACAAAGGGUAGCUGAAACGCAAGUUCUUGGCCAAUCCCCAAAAACAGUCUCAGUCCGGAUUGAAGUCUGCAACUCGACUUCAUGAAGUUGGAAUCGCUAGUAAUCGCGAAUCAGCAUGUCGCGGUGAAUACGUUCUCGGGGUUUGUACACACCGCCCGUCAAACCACGAAAGUUGGCAAUACCCCAAAACGGUAGCCUAACUCGUUUAUCGAGAGGGCGCUGUCUAAGGUAGGGUCGAUGAUUGGGGUUAAGUCGUAACAAGGUAUCCCUACCGGAAGGUGGGGAUGGAUCACCUCCUUUCU